rnacentral:rRNA from 1 species
UACGGAGGUGGCAAGCGUUGUUCGGAAUUACUGGGCGUAAAGGGCGCGUAGGCGGCUAGGCAAGUCAGAUGUGAAAGCCCCGGGCUCAACUUGGGAAUUGCAUCUGAAACUGCUUAGCUUGAGUUCUGGAGGGGGUAGUGGAAUUCCCAGUGUAGCGGUGAAAUGCGUAGAUAUUGGGAGGAACACCUGCGGCGAAGGCGGCUACCUGGACAGGAACUGACGCUGAGGCGCGAAAGCUAGGGUAG